UAAAAAUGAAUAUUAUCCACGAGUAGGAGCUAACGUGUUUUCAGACUUAAGAAAACCUUACGAGCAUUAAACAACCUGUAAUGAAUGGGGCUCCUGCAUUGCCCGAUAGCAACUCGCCUGCACAACUAACUCGCCAUUCACUAUAUCUGACUCUGAAUAAAAAGGAAGGAGGAGGUUAGCACAGUAUGCAGACGGGACUACUGACAUAAAACUCAUCCUGCUGGAUGUUAAAUAGCCAGGUUAAUCUUGCGCACGAAUGGCUUGAAUGAGCAGAUCUUAUGCUGUUGGCUGUGCACCUUACUGUAACCUGACGUUGCAAACGCUGCGUGUAAGACACGUUUUCUGCACAAAUUCUGCAAAUCGGUAUCAUCUUUUAAAUGCUGUUUUUUAUUUAGGCAAUUUUACACAUUCACCGAACAACAUCUUCCUGUCCAAAUUAUGGCAAAGUUGACCGUGAGAAAGUCUUCCGCUGUCCCGAGGCUGUCAUGUCUCUGCGGCUCCUAGCGAAUCACAACUGGAGUGGCUGCACUCUCAGGACCACAUUUUUAGGACCGCAUCUUUAGGAACCUAUUUUUUUGUGACAGCGCCAACUGUCGGAUUGGAUCAUGGAUGCGCUAAUGGACGACACGGAUGACAAGGAAAGUAAGUAAAAUAAUUUAACAGACAGAUUGACAAACAACUGACGAAAGAAGAGAGACCAUUCAAUAGAGGACUUCUAGAUGUAUCCAUAAUCCUGAAACAGACCGUAUCAUGAGCAGAUGCAGUGGUGGUCAUGGAGAAGUGGAGAGCAUGAGACCCCAAGUGAUAAUGAAAGUUAUGAAAGACCUCAGCAACAGAUGAGUGCCCGCAUUGAUCCUGUGGUCCAGCCUGAAAACCCGCUGGUGACCUAUUCACACCUGCAGCUUCUCCACGAUGGACGCCCAGUGUUCUUUAGCCUCCA